rnacentral:lncRNA from 1 species
AAAAAUGCACAAAUUUAAUCCCAAAAAUGUGACACAAAUUGUCACAUUACAUCUUCAUGUGUCAAAAACAAUGAUAGCAUAUGAGAAAAAAUUCAAACCAGUGCUCAAAAAUCAUAUCAUGAGUGAAGAUUAAGCAUGCAAAAAUUUGGAUCAAGAAGCUCAACAUAUAGAAUUUCACAAAGCAUUGAUCACAACAUAUCAAUUUAGCACAAGGUUCAAUCAAAAAUUC